GUAGAGUAAAAAUGUGAUGAAAACCUAAACCGAACUCCAGCAACAAGAUCAAUUACACCUUAAUUAAAGCUUGGAUCAAGAAAAGAAGAUAUUUGGAUACAAAGAGUUGCAUUGAGUCGACAUUUGCAUCUGAUAGAGGUUUCAGGUGGGUCAAUGGAGAGUUCAUUGCACGUGCAUAUUUUGAAGUGUUUAUGUGAAUAAGAUAGAUAACAAAACUUUUGUACUAAGAGUUAUUGUAUAAAGCUAUGUAUAAGUGUUUGAUGUGAGAUAGUUUGAAUGUUACGGUUAUGCGAUAAGUUAAAAUUUUUGUCUCGGAACAUAACAUAUAUUAAAUGGAUUUUAUGAUGUUUGUUACAAA